UACAGAGGGUGCGAGCGUUGUUCGGAAUUACUGGGCGUAAAGCGCGCGCAGGCGGUCCUUUAAGUCUGAUGUGAAAGCCCACGGCUCAACCGCGGAAGGUCAUUGGAAACUGGAGGACUUGAGUACAGAAGAGGAAAGCGGAAUUCCACGUGUAGCGGUGAAAUGCGUAGAGAUGUGGAGGAACACCAGUGGCGAAGGCGGCUUUCUGGUCUGUAACUGACGCUGAGGCGCGAAAGCGUGGGGAGCAAACAGG
rnacentral:rRNA from 1 species